rnacentral:misc_RNA from 1 species
AUUUUGUAUCAUCUUCCGCCUUCCGUGAUCGUGUGGUUUUCCUUCAUGAUCAAGAAGAUCAACACUGAUCAAGAUGCGGCAGAUAGAAUGGUCAAUGUGGGCCAAUGAACAGGCUAUUAUCAGCUCAUCUGUUGUCUUGUUCGGUGGAAUAAUUGGCAUCACUGGCUUCUUCAGAGCCUGGGAGAUUGGAAUAUAUGCUGUAGUAGUAGCUGUUCUUGUGUUUGUGAUUGAAUAUCCUAGAGGCAAAAGAGCUAAAGGAAGAACUACAGAGCGCAAAUUCCAACAUCCAUUUACCAGAUUUGUAAAUCGUAUUGGCUUUCUUGGGAGGAACUACUUUGUUAGAUUCCUAUUUCACCUGAUAUUGUGUGCUCCAUUAUGCUUCAUCCUUGCUACCAUUAUGGGAGGACUUUGUCUGUUUGUUACCAGUAUGAUAUAUCUCGUUGUAAGUUUCUACCAGCAUAACUAAUCUUUUAACCAAAGAGCCCUUUUUGGUUAUAAUCUCAAUAAAAUCAUAGCAAGAAAUACAAGUAUAGAUGUGUUCCUGUGGGGUUCCUUUGGGUAUCCUUGGGGUACCUAAGGGUGUCUCUGGGAUACCAGUGAGUCUCCAGGGUAACAAGAGUUUUGAAUUUGUAUUAUUAGGGUAUCCUUUGGGUUCCUUGGGGUUAAAAGAUGUGCCGGUUAUGGAUAUAUCAGAUUGCAAGGGAAAAAGUCAUUAGAGUAGUGGUUUUAUUUACACUUUUCUUUUUUUUGUUUAUGUGCUAGUUAGUAAUCAUCCUUCCUUUUGGUGUAUUUCAGCAGAAAAGAAGCAAAAUUUGAAAGAAAAAAAAAAUCAUUCACUUUUAUUUAUACGUAAACAACAUUGUAAAUCAAGAAAAAGAAUAUUUCUAAGUAUCAAUUAAGGGGAACAACUCUGUAGCAUUACUCCCGUUUGUUACUCUCUAAAGGGUAACAACUCUGUAGCAUCAGUAGUCAUUACUCCAAUUUGUUACUCCCUUAAAGGGAACAACGCUUUAGCAUCAGUAGUCAUUACUCCUACUUGUUACUCCCUAAAGGGGAACAACUCCAAGCAUCAGUAGUCAUUAUUCUUAUGUGUUACUCCCUUAAGGGGAACAACUCUGUAGCAUCAGUAGCUAUUAUUCCGAUUUGUUACUCCCUAAAGGGGAACAACUCUGAGCAUCUGUAGUCAUUAUUCCUAUUUGUUACCUCCUAAAGGGGAACAACUCUGUAGCAUCAGUAGUCAUUACUCCAAUUUGUUACUCCUUAAAGGGGAACAACUCUGUAGCAUCAGUAGCCAUUACUCCAAUUUGUUGCUCUGAAAUGGAAACAGUUCUUACUGAUGAUUUUCCUAUACAGGCAGCAUUUAAGGGAGAGCAGUGGAGUCCAGUAGGCCUGGAGGAGAAACCAGUUGAGGAUAACAAAAAGGAACUCAAGUCCUUCCGUCAACCAAAGAAACCCCCACCCCGUGCGCCUCCCCAGGGGAUAGAGGAUAACCACAUCUAACCAAGGAGUACGCCCUUCACUACCCAAAGAGAUUAUCAACAUUGACUCUAUUUUCAUAGUUAUAUUGCACUAGACUCUGAACCUCAUGUAUUGGUUAUGAUUAUAUUGCACAUUGCUGUUACUGGUAUUUCUUGUUAACAAUUUGAUAAAUUGUACAUUUAUGUUUUCUUCCUAUCAUUUAUACAUAUAUUAUAUGUACAUUUAUACGUUCUCUAUCUAAAUGUAAUUGUUCUGUUUAACAUGUCUGAAAGGCAAAUAAACAAUUAAACUC